rnacentral:piRNA from 1 species
UUGAUCUACAGCAAGGCAUCGGGAA